rnacentral:rRNA from 1 species
UACGUAGGCAGCAAGCGUUGUUCGGAAUUACUGGGCGUAAAGCGUGCGCAGGCGGUGAUGUAAGACAGAUGUGAAAUCCUCGGGCUCAACCUGGGAACUGCAUUUGUGACUGCAUCGCUGGAGUGCGGCAGAGGGGGAUGGAAUUCCGCGUGUAGCAGUGAAAUGCGUAGAUAUGCGGAGGAACACCGAUGGCGAAGGCAAUCCCCUGGGCCUGCACUGACGCUCAUGCACGAAAGCGUGGGGAGCAAACAGG